GACGAACGCUGGCGGCGUGCUUAACACAUGCAAGUCGAACGGAAAGGCCCUGCGUUUGUGGGGUGCUCGAGUGGCGAACGGGGGAGUAACACGUGAGUAACCUGCCCUUGACUUUGGGAUAACUUCAGGAAAGUGGGGCUAAUACCGGAUAGGAGCUCCUGCUGCGUGGUGGGGGUUGGAAAGUUUCGGCGGUUGCGGAUGGACUCGCGGCUUAUCGGCUUGUUGGUGGGGUAGUGGCUGACCAAGGCUUUGACGGGUAGCCAGCCUGGGAGUGUGACCGGCCACAUUGGGCCUGGGGUACGACCCGGACUCAUGCGGGAGGCAGGGGCGGGGACUAUUGCCAACUGGGCCGAGGCCGGGUGCAGCGACGCCGGGUGCGAAAUGCCGGCUUUCGGGUUAUAAACCGCUUUCGCCUGUGACGAAGCGUGAGUGCCGGUACUGAGUAAAGAGGCACCGCCAACCUCCUU
rnacentral:rRNA from 1 species